GACAGAGGCCUCAAGCGUUAGGCGGAAUCACUGGGCUUAAAGCGUGUGUAGGCGGAUCGUUAAGUGUCUUGUGAAAUCCCACGGCUCACCCGUGGAACGGCUGGGCAUACUGGCGAUCUUGGGCCAACUAGGGGCAACUGGAACAAGCGGUGGAGCGGUGAAAUGCGUAGGAUAUCAGGAGGAACACCGGUGGCGAAGGCGGGUCUCUGGGCAGUAACUGACGCUGGAGGAGCGAAAGCGUGGGGAGCGAACAGG
rnacentral:rRNA from 1 species